GAUAAACGCUGGCGGCGUGCCUAAUGCAUGCAAGUCGAACGGGGUCCCUUCGGGGGCUUACGUGGCGGACGGGUGAGGAACACGUGGGGAACCUGCCCUGAGGUGGGGGGUAGCCCGUGGAAACAUGGGGUAAUUCCGCAUAGCUUAGUUGGCCUGUAGGGUUGACUAAGAAAGCCUUCGGGCGCCUUGGGAGGGGCCUGCGGCCGAUUAGCUAGCUGGUGGGGUAACGGCCUACCAGGGCGAUGAUCGGUAGCUGGUCUGAGAGGACGGCCAGCCACAGGGGAACGGAGACACGGUCCCCACUCCUACGGGAGGCAGCAGCAAGGAAUUUUCCGCAAUGGGGGAAACCCUGACGGAGCAACGCCGCGUGCGGGAUGACGCCUUUCGGGGUGUAAACCGCUUUUGUCGGGGACGAAGGCCCUGGUAACAGGGUGAGACGGUACCCGGCGAAGAAGGUCCGGCUAACUACGUGCCAGCAGCCGCG
rnacentral:rRNA from 1 species